rnacentral:rRNA from 1 species
UUGUAAUUGGAAUGAUGGAAAUUUAAACCCUUUUUAAAGUAUCAAUUGGAGGGCAAGUCUGGUGCCAGCAGCCGCGGUAAUUCCAGCUCCAAUAGCGUAUAUUAAAAUUGUUGCAGUUAAAAAGCUCGUAGUUGAAGUUCUGCUAAAAGUAACCGGUCUGCUUUUAAUAAAGGUGGUAUCUUGGUGUGUAUUUAGCAAUGAUGUCCUUUGAAGUGUUUUUUACUUUAUUGUAAUAAAGCAUAUUCAGGACUUUUACUUUGAGAAAAUUAGAGUGUUUCUAGCAGGCUAACGCUUUGAAUACUGCAGCAUGGAAUAAUAAGAUAGGAUUUUAGUUCUACAUUAUUGGUUUUAAGAGCUAAAUUAAUGAUUGAUAGGGACAGUUGGGGGCAUUUGUAUUUAACUGUCAGAGGUGAAAUUCUUAGAUUUGUUAAAGACAAACUACUGCGAAAGCAUUUGCCAAAGAUGUUUUCAUUAAUCAAGAACGAAAGUUAGGGGAUCGAAGACGAUCAGAUACCGUCGUAGUCCUAACCAUAAACUA